GGUGAGAUGGCCGAGCGGUCUAAGGCGCCAGACUAAGGAUAUCCGCCAUCUGGUCCGAAAGGGCGUGGGUUCGAAUCCCACUCUCAUCA